rnacentral:rRNA from 1 species
GUCUGGCGGCUUUAGCGCGGUGGUCCCACCUGACCCCAUGCCGAACUCAGAAGUGAAACGCCGUAGCGCCGAUGGUAGUGUGGGGUCUCCCCAUGUGAGAGUAGGGAACUGCCAGACA